rnacentral:sRNA from 1 species
CGGAAAGGAUGGCAGUCUAAGGUCGCGACGUCCUGUCGCAAUGACUGCAUGACCUGCAGGAUGCAGG